AGAACGAACGCUGGCGGCAGGCUUAACACAUGCAAGUCGAGCGCCCCGCAAGGGGAGCGGCAGACGGGUGAGUAACGCGUGGGAACAUACCCUCCGGUUCGGAAUAGCUCAGGGAAACUUGGAUUAAUACCGGAUACGGCCUAGCGGCGAAAGAUUGAUCGCCGGAGGAUUGGCCCGCGUCUGAUUAGCUAGUUGGUGGGGUAAUGGCCCACCAAGGCGACGAUCAGUAGCUGGUCUGAGAGGAUGAUCAGCCACAUUGGGACUGAGACACGGCCCAAACUCCUACGGGAGGCAGCAGUGGGAAUAUUGGACAAUGGGCGCAAGCCUGAUCCAGCCAUGCCGCGUGAGUGAUGACGGCCUUAGGGUUGUAAAGCUCUUUCGCUAGGGACGAUAAUGACGGUACCUAGACAAGAACGCCCCGGCUAACUUCGUGCCAGCAGCCG
rnacentral:rRNA from 1 species